AAAACACAGGGCUCCAUAGAAACUUGCGAAGAACACCGAUCGAGCACCGAACUCGAUCAGGCAGGCACCAUAAUUAAUUCCUCGAUUCAUCCAAAGUACUCCUAUGUAUUUGAGUAUUUGUAUUUGUAUUACCCCUCCCUCAAUCCAUUCAACUUCUUCAAACUAGUAUGGUAUUUCCCUCGGGUCAGUUUUGCAUGAAUAUCUGUAGAUUAAUUUUACUCAGUGGAUGAAGAUGAUGAUUAGGCAUUUUAACUAAGAUAAGAAUUUCUGUUGUGUUUAACUGAGACUGGAAUUUGUUCAGUGACUACUUGUUUAAACGAGCCGAGCGAGCUUCGUAAUGUUUGAGUUCGGCUCGUUUACUGAACGAGCCCAAGGGCAAGUCACCCGCUGAUCGCCUUCUCCAUUUGCUUUUCCUUGAAAAAAAAAUUCUCAAUGGUUGAGGCACUUCUAGUUUCAAGUUUAUAUGGAAGUCAAAUGGGCUGACAAUAGUAGGUGUGUGAAUGUGUAUUAAAGAGUGUAAAAAAUAAACAGAAAUACAUAUUUUCGUUGCCGUCUAGUGUGCUUAUCGUCAAUCCAGUGUGCUGAUAGUAGCAAGACCGAUAAUAUAUAUACCUUUAGCAGCUUUCUAAUUCCACUUCCACAUGAAUAUCUGUAGAAUUAUUUUACUCAGUGGAUGAAGAUGAUUGGGCAUUUUAACAAAGGUAAGAAUUUCUGUUGCGUUUAAUUGAGACUGGAAUUUGUUCAGUGACUACUGGUAGUGCAUGGCUGUCAUGUAAUUGAUUGGGUGACAAAAGAGAAAUAGUGACUGCUGUAUGCUAUUAUCCUCCUAGUGGAAAGGUUUGGAGAAGUUCUGGCCUUCUAUCCUUCUUGUAAAAUGUUGCUUGAAAAUUAUGGGAGUUGGUUUUAAAUGAUGAUGCAUUGUCUAUAAUUGCAGCGAGGAAUUGCGGGCUCAAUGGAUGGAAGCUGCCGCUUUUACGAUACCAUAGCUAUGCACAUGUCCUUCACCAGACACUCUUUUCAAGUCUUGCUCGAGCAUGAAACUCGGAGAAUUAACAUUGUGGGAUCAUGUUUUGCGUGGGUCAGAUAAUCAGUUGCAGCUGGAAGGUGAGAUAUGUUUGAAGGGGAAAAAGAAGUAAUCCUGCAAGAGGAUAACUGGCUUUCAGUUUUCUCCCAGUGAUCCAACCAAAGUUCUUGUCACUUCUGCUGAUUCUCAAGUUCGAGUACUUUGUGGUGUUGAUGUCAUCCUCAAAUUCAAGGGCCCACGAAAGACAAAUAGUCCGGCGACUGCAUCUUUCACUGCAGAUGGGGAACAUAUCGUCUCAGCGGGAGACGACUCAAAUGUGUAUGUCUGGGACUAUAUUAGCAAGGGCUCAACUUCUUCCAAAACAAAGAAGGUGUCCGUGUGAUCAUCUUAUGAACGCUUUGUUUCUCACAACACGUCGAUUGCUAUACCUCGGUGUGGUAUGAAAACCACGCCUGGUUCACUUUUGACUCCCCCUAUGGGAGACGAUGAUCUGGCAUGCUGUAUCUUGGGGAAUGGGCAAUGUGAUCAAAGCUUAUUCGGGUUUGAAAAUCCAGUGUUUUGGGUGCCAUUGGAUUUUGAUGAUGCUCAUUUGUUGGCUACUAUAGGGAUCGCAGCGACUGGAACAUUUGUGGCUAGGUUAGUUUUGCAUGAAUCUCAGUAUGUAGUGUAAUGUAGAGUCACAGCAGAAAUCUGGUUUUUUUAUUCAGAUGAAGAGGUGUAAUUUCAUUGAUUCUUUUACAAACCAGCCAUAUGGCAACAUAUGGGCUGAAAUUCCUUUUGUAAUGGAUAUCAUUAUUCAGAUCAUUAGUAUAAAAUUCUUUGAUUUGUUGAAUAAA